rnacentral:lncRNA from 1 species
GCAGGUGUAUAUGCAAUUUCAGGAUUGCACCAGGAAAUAACCUGUUGAGAAGUCAGUGCUAGGAGAAAGCUAUGCUUUCCAAAUGAAUCCUAUGCCUUCUAAAAGGACAUCCAUAUGAUCCACAUAUGUUUUCUUUCUUUGCCUUAGCUACCAGGGAGCUAGCAGUUAAAUUAGGUCUUUCUCCUAGUGGAGAAAUCACUUGGGCCACUUGUGCAUCUAGAGUGUCAGACCCAAGCUGGGAAAAAGAAUCAUCCUUAAAAGUAUUUCAUCAGCCCUCGAGACUUAUACAGAGCCGGCGAAAUUGGUCCUGGUCCUCUCCUGACUCCACAGAGACUGAAAACAUCAGGAACGAGGACCUUGCAGACUUUGGUAUGAGCAAAGAUCUGACCCCUGGGGUGCUCAGCCUCCUUUGAGGUGACUUCAUGAUGGUAUCUAAAGAAGAGACUGUCAUUCUUGCUGAACAAAUGAUCCCAGAUGUUCCAGAAGAAAGACCUGUUCUUCUCUCUGCAAUUUGUCAGUUCAUCCCCACCCAAUACUUAUCAAGGACUACCAUGAGUCAGAGACUCUGCCAGCACUGGACACAGAAGGAAGAAGGCCUGGUCUGGGACAUCAUGGUGUUUAAAGUCCAGAGAAGUCAACGAGUGGGAAGGUCAACAAUGGGACAAAGAAAUGGUGAAGAUCAUGGUCCAUGGAUGGCAAUGUGGACCUGGAUUUCACUGCAGACACUGUACAGGUAGCUGGAGCAGUUGGGAUGUCUGUUAAAUGCACAAGAAUCUCAUAGUGGUAAGUUAUGCUGUUCCUGGGCUCACA